rnacentral:rRNA from 1 species
GACGUAGGGCGCAAGCGUUGUCCGGAUUUAUUGGGCGUAAAGAGCGUGUAGGCGGUCCGGUAAGUCCGCUGUGAAAGUCGGGGGCUCAACCCUCGAAUGCCGGUGGAUACUGUCGGGCUAGAGUGCGGAAGAGGCGAGUGGAAUUCCUGGUGUAGCGGUGAAAUGCGCAGAUAUCAGGAGGAACACCUAUUGCGAAGGCAGCUCGCUGGGACGUAACUGACGCUGAGACGCGAAAGCGUGGGGAGCAAACAGG